CCCGCCCCCAGGGGCUGUGAUUUGUGUUUCAGUUUGGGGCGGGCCCAGCACAGGUGUUCCGAGUGAGCUCUCCGGGCAGUGCCGUGCUCUGCCGGGUACCCUCGGGGGUAUCCUCUCAAAUUCUAUGCGUCGGAGUAAUGCUGUUGGCAUAAACUAGGCUGUCUUCUGCUUUCUGUGUCAUGGAUACAGUGCUUGCUGAAGAUUGAAAGUGCCCUCAGAAACUUUUGGAGUUCUGGAGGCCGGAAGUCUAAGAUCAAGGUGUCAGCAGAAGACUUCACCAGUGAAUCCAUCUGGUUCUAGGCUUUUCUUUGUUGAGAAGUUUUGAUUAAAGGAUGUUACUUGUUAUAUGUCUGGUAAGACUUUCAAUUCCUUUUUUGAGUCAAUUUAUGUAAUUUAUGUGUUUCUAGGUAUUUGUCCAUUUCAUCUAGGUUAUCCAAUUUUUGGUGUAUAAUUGUUCAUAGGAUUCUUUUAUAAUGCUUUUUAUUACUGUUUGUUCAGAAAUAAUGUACCUGCUUUCAUUUCUGAUUUUGAUUAUUUGCAUAUUCAUGUGUAUGUGUGUGUCAGUCAAGCUAAAGGUUUGUCAAAAUUGAUUUUUUUCAAUAAACUAACUUUUGGUUUCAUUGAUCUCACUAUUGUUUUUCCAUGAUCUAUUUUUAUUUAUUUCUACUCUGAUCUUUGUUUCCCUCUUUGUGUUAGCUUUUGGUUUAGUUUGCUCUUCUUUUUCUUGAGCCUUAACGUAUGAAGUUAGUUUAUUGAUUUGAGAUAUAUUUUCUUUUUUUUUAUGUAGGCAUUUACAGCUAUACAUUUCCCUCUGAGUACUGCCUUUAUUGCAUCCUAUAAGUUUUG
rnacentral:lncRNA from 10 species